UGGGGAAUUUUGGACAAUGGGCGCAAGCCUGAUCCAGCCAUGCCGCGUGUCUGAAGAAGGCCUUCGGGUUGUAAAGGACUUUUGUCAGGGAAGAAAAGGACAGGGUUAAUACCUCUGUUUGAUGACGGUACCUGAAGAAUAAGCACCGGCUAACUACGUGCCAGCAGCCGCGGUAAUACGUAGGGUGCGAGCGUUAAUCGGAAUUACUGGGCGUAAAGCGAGCGCAGACGGUUACUUAAGCAGGAUGUGAAAUCCCCGGGCUCAACCUGGGAACUGCGUUCUGAACUGGGUGACUAGAGUGUGUCAGAGGGAGGUAGAAUUCCACGUGUAGCAGUGAAAUGCGUAGAGAUGUGGAGGAAUACCGAUGGCGAAGGCAGCCUCCUGGGAUAACACUGACGUUCAUGCUCGAAAGCGUGGGUAGCAAACAGGAUUAGAUACCCUGGUAGUCCACGCCCUAAACGAUGUCAAUUAGCUGUUGGGCAACUUGAUUGCUUAGUAGCGUAGCUACGCGUGAAAUUGACCGCCUGGGGAGUACGGUCGCAAGAUU
rnacentral:rRNA from 1 species